UCUCAGUGAUGAACACACAGAUGACGAGUCCGAUGAAAUCCAUUCAUUAAAUCAUGGGGACAAACGAGGCAUUUGUCUGAGAGGA
rnacentral:snoRNA from 1 species